rnacentral:rRNA from 1 species
AGCAGUAGCCGCGGUAAUACGGAGGGGGCUAGCGUUGUUCGGAAUUACUGGGCGUAAAGCGCACGUAGGCGGCUUGGUAAGUUAGAGGUGAAAGCCUGGAGCUCAACUCCAGAAUUGCCUUUAAGACUGCCGAGCUAGCAGGUGAGAGAGGUAAGUGGAAUUCCGAGUGUAGAGGUGAAAUUCGUAGAUAUUCGGAAGAACACCAGUGGCGAAGGCGGCUUACUGGCUCAUACUGGACGCUGAGGUGCGAAAGCGUGGGGAGCAAACAGGAUUAGAUACCCCUGUAGUCCCUGUCUCUUAUAA